AUACGUAGGUGGCAAGCGUUGUCCGGAAUUAUUGGGCGUAAAGCGCGCGCAGGCGGCUAUGUAAGUCUGGUGUCAAGGCCCGGGGCUCAACCCCGGUACGCAUCGGAAACUGUGUAGCUUGAGUGCAGAAGAGGAAAGCGGUAUUCCACGUGUAGCGGUGAAAUGCGUAGAGAUGUGGAGGAACACCAGUGGCGAAGGCGGCUUUCUGGUCUGUAACUGACGCUGAGGCGCGAAAGCGUGGGGAGCAAACAGGAUUAGAUACCCUGGUAGUCCACGCCGUAAACGAUGAGUGCUAGGUGUUGGUGGUUUCAAUACCCUCAGUGCCGCAGCUAACGCAAUAAGCACUCCGCCUGGGGAGUACGGUCGCAAGACUGAA
rnacentral:rRNA from 1 species